rnacentral:rRNA from 1 species
UACAGGCGAUGAAGGACGUUGUAGACUGCGAAAAGCUUCGGGGAGCCGUCAAACAGGCUUUGAUCCGGAGAUGUCCGAAUGGGGAAACCCACCCGCAAGGGUAUCCCACGCUGAAUACAUAGGCGUAUGGAGGCGAACCCGGAGAACUGAAACAUCUAAGUACCCGGUGGAAAAGAAAACAAUAGUGAUUCCCCCAGUAGUGGCGAGCGAAAAGGGAACAGCCCAAACCAAUAAUGUUAAGGCAUUGUUGGGGUUAUAGGACUGCAUUUAGUUUGUUUAUUCGAAGUAGAAGGUUCUGGAAAGUUCCGCAAUAUAGGGUGAUAGCCCCGUAUACGUAUUAAUAAAUAAAUGAGCAGUAUCCUGAGUACCGCGAGACCGGAGAAAUCUUGUGGGAAUUCAGCGGCACCAUCCGCUAAGGCUAAAUACUCCUGAGAGACCGAUAGUGAACUAGUACUGUGAAGGAAAGGUGAAAAGAACCUCGAACAGAGGAGUGAAAUAGAACCUGAAACCGUGUGCUUACAAGCGGUAGGAGCCACUUCGUGUGGUGACUGCGUGCCUUUUGCAUAAUGAGCCUACGAGUUACUCCUCUCUGGCAAGGUUAAUUCCGAUGACGGAAGAAGCCGAAGCGAAAGCAAGUCUGAAUAGGGCGUAUAGUCAGAGGGGGUAGACGCGAAACCUUGUGAUCUACCCAUGACCAGGUUGAAGUUGCCGUAACAGGUAAUGGAGGACCGAACCGAUAAGCGUUGAAAAGCUUCCGGAUGAGUUGUGGGUAGGGGUGAAAGGCUAAUCAAACUGGGAAAUAGCUCGUACUCCCCGAAAUGUUUUUAGGAACAGCCUCGAGGUUGAGUGUUAUAGAGGUAGAGCUACCGAUUGGACUAGGGGGCUUCACCGCCUACCAAAUCCUGACGAACUCCGAAUACUAUAUCAUAUACUCGGGAGUGAGCCCAUGGGUGCUAAGGUCCGUGGGCGAGAGGGAAAGAACCCAGAUCAUCAGCUAAGGUCCCCAAAUUUAUGUUAAGUUGAUCUAACGUGGUCCGAUUGCAUUGACAGCUAGGAUGUUUGCUUGGAAGCAGCCAUUCAUUUAAAGAGUGCGUAACAGCUCACUAGUCGAGCGAUUGGGCGUGGACAAUAAACGGGCAUUAAACAUAAUACCGAAGCUAUGACAACAGCAAUGUUGGGUAGGGGAGCAUUCUGACAGCAUCGAAGAUGUUGCGUAAGCAAUGUUGGAGCAGUCAGAAAAGCAAAUGUAGGCAUAAGUAACGAUAAUGCGGGUGAGAAACCCGCACACCGUAAGACCAAGGUUUCCUGAUCAACGUUAAUCGAAUCAGGGUUAGUCGGGGCCUAAGGCGAAUCCAAACGGAGUAGUCGAUGGAUAACAGGUUAAUAUUCCUGUACUUGCAUAAAUUGCGAUGGGACAACGGAGUAGUGAAAGGUCUGCGCACUGACGGAAUAGUGCGUUAAAGGUUGUAGGUAUAGGUGGUGUUGGUAAAUCCGCAUCGCUUGCCGAAACUGAUAGUACCACAAGUCCUCGGACAAGUGGAUAUGACUCUAAUCAAACUUCCAAGAAAAAUCUCUAAGCUUCAGAUUUAUGCAACCCGUACCGCAAACCGACACAGGUGGUUGAGGAGAGAAUCCUAAGGUGCUCGAGUGAAUCAUGGCUAAGGAACUAGGCAAAUUAACCCUGUAACUUCGGGAGAAAGGGUGCCCCGAGCAAUCGGGGCCGCAGUGAAAUGGCCCAGGCGACUGUUUAACAAAAACACAUGGCUUUGCUAAAUUGAAAGAUGACGUAUAAGGCCUGACACCUGCCCGGUGCUGGAAGGUUAAGAGGAGAAGUCAGGAGCAAUCCAAAGCUUUGAAUUGAAGCCCCAGUAAACGGCGGCCGUAACUAUAACGGUCCUAAGGUAGCGAAAUUCCUUGUCGGGUAAGUUCCGACCUGCACGAAUGGUGUAAUGAUCUGGGCACUGUCUCAGCCAUGAGCUCGGUGAAAUUGUAGUAUCGGUGAAGAUGCCGAUUACCCGCAACGGGACGGAAAGACCCCAUGCACCUUCACUAUAGCUUAACAUUGACUUUGGAUAAUUGAUGUGUAGGAUAGGUGGGAGACUUUGAAGUGGCCUCGCUAGGGGUCAUGGAGUCAUCCUUGAAAUACCACCCUUUAAUUAUUUGGAGUCUAAUCCGUUCACACGGAAACAGUGUUUGGUGGGUAGUUUGACUGGGGUGGUCGCCUCCAAAAUUGUAUCGGAGGCUUUCAAAGGUACCCUCAGUACGCUUGGUAACCGUACGUAGAGUGCAAUAGCAUAAGGGUGCUUAACUGUGAGACCUACAAGUCGAGCAGAAUCGAAAGAUGGAUAUAGUGAUCCGGUGGUUCCGCAUGGAAGGGCCAUCGCUCAUAGGAUAAAAGGUACGCUGGAUAACAGGCUGAUCCCUCCCAAGAGCUCAUAUCGACGGGGGGGUUUGGCACCUCGAUGUCGGC